AAGUCGUAACAAGGUUUCCGUAGGUGAACCUGCGGAAGGAUCAUUACCGAUUUUAGCGAACCUAACCUUUGGUUAUGGUCUCGCGAAAACUUUGUAUUUAAAACCCCACUCUUUUAUAAAUUGAAUCAUUCAUUAUUAUGUAUAAUAAAUAAAGAUCACUUUCAACAACGGAUCUCUUGGCUCUC
rnacentral:misc_RNA from 1 species